rnacentral:lncRNA from 1 species
AGCCUGGAUUAAGAGAAGGAAAAAACCAGAAAGAUCAUAGGGACAAAUCUACACAAAAAUUAAUUGGUAUGGCUCAGGAUGGGUGGGGGUGAGUGGUUCAGGACCAAGGAUAUGAACAAUAUAAUGGAGACAGGUCAUACUCUGUGUGGCUAUGGUUGUGUGGUUAAAGGUAGGGAUAUAUGACAUGAGGUAUCUCUCUGUAUGGACAAAUUUUCUUUGGAAACUUGAAUUCUCAGUGUGAAAGACUAGACGAAUGUAGACAGCAUGGAUAGCAUUCAGCUUAAAUAUGCAGAUGGGGGAAAUGUAUAAAUGAAGCAAAUUCUUCAGAAUAAAGUUUAAAAGUUAACAAUUUGGUCAGCCAAAGAUACAAAAGACAAUGUAUUUCAGAUAAUGCCAACAACUAGACGAAGAGAUGAUGUCACAAAAUGGAAUCUGCAAUUCAAGUAGAAAUAAAAGAUGUUGUGGUAAUGAGAAAGUAAUAAAGACCUGGUUUG